rnacentral:rRNA from 1 species
AUUUCAGCAGCCGCGGUAAUACAGAGGGUGCAAGCGUUGUUCGGAAUUAUUGGGCGUAAAGCGCGUGUAGGCGGCUUCGUAAGUUGGGUGUGAAAGCCCUCGGCUUAACCGAGGAAGUGCGCCCAAAACUGCGUGGCUUGAGUACCGGAGAGGAUGGCGGAAUUCCCGGUGUAGAGGUGAAAUUCGUAGAUAUCGGGAGGAACACCAGCGGCGAAGGCGGCCAUCUGGACGGAUACUGACGCUGAGACGCGAAAGCGUGGGGAGCAAACAGGAUUAGAAACCCCGGUAGUCC